rnacentral:rRNA from 1 species
CAUGCAAGUCGAGCGAACUGAUUAGAAGCUUGCUUCUAUGACGUUAGCGGCGGACGGGUGAGUAAUCACGUGGGCAACCUGCCUGUAAGACUGGGAUAACUUCGGGAAACCGAAGCUAAUACCGGAUAGGAUCUUCCUCCUUCAUGGGAGAUGAUUGAAAGAUGGUUUCGGCUAUCACUUACAGAUGGGCCCUUGGUGCAUUAGCUAAGUUGGUGGGGUAACGGCUCACCAAGGCAACGAUGCAUAGCCGACCUGAGAGGGUGAUCGGCCACACUGGGCUACUGAGACACGGCCCAGACUCCUACGGGAGGCAGCAGUAGGGAAUCUUCCGCAAUGGACGAAAGUCUGACGAGGAGCAACGCCGCGUGAGUGAUGAAGGCUUUCGGGUCGUAAAACUCUGUUGUUAGGGAAGAACAAGUACGGAAGAGUAACUGCUUGUACCUUGACGGUACCUAACCAGAAAGCCACGGCUAACUACGUGCCAGCAGCCGCGGUCUAAUACGUAGGUGGCAAGCGUUAUCCGGAAUUAUUGGGCGUAAAGCGCGCGCAGGCGGUUUCUUAAGUCUUCAGAUGUGAAAGCCCACGGCUCAACCGUGGAGGGUCAUUGGAAACUGGGGAACUUGAGUGCAGAAGAGAAGGUGCGGAAUUCCACGUGUAGCGGUGAAAUGCGUACAGAUUUGGAGGAACACCAGUGGCGAAGGCGGCGUUUCUGGUCUGUAACUGACGCUGAGGCGCGAAAGCGUGGGGAGCAAACAGGAUUAGAUACCCUGGUAGUCCACGCGCGUAAACGAUGAGUGCUAAGUGUUAGAGGGUUUCCGCCCUUUAGUGCUGCAGCUAACGCAUUAAGCACUCCUCGCCUGGGGAGUACGGUCGCAAGACUGAAACUCAAAGGAAUUGACGGGGGCCCGCACAAGCGGUGGAGCAGUUGUGGUUUAAUUCGAAGCAACGCGAAGAACCUUACCAGGUCUUGACAUCCUCUGACAACUCUAGAGAUAGUUAAGCGUUCCCCUUCGGGGGACAGAGUGACAGGUGGUGCAUGGUUGUCGUCAGCUCGUGUCGUGAGAUGUUGGGAUGGUUAAGUCCCGCAACGAGCGCAACCCUUGAUCUUAGUUGCCAGCAUUUAGUUGGGCACUAAAAGGUGACAAAUUGCCGGUGACAAACCGGAGGAAGGUGGGGAUGACGUCAAAUCAUCAUGCCCCUUAUGACCUGGGCUACACCCACGUGCUACAAUGGAUGGUACAAAGGGCUGCAAGACCGCGAGGUCAAGCCAAUCCCAUAAAACCAUUCUCGGUAGUUUGGAUUGUAGGCUGCAACUCGCCUACAUGAAGCUGGAAUCGCUAGUAAUCGCGGAUCAGCAUGCCGGGUCGGUGAAUACGUUCCCGGGCCUUGUACACACCUUCCGUCACACCACGAGAGUUUGUAACACG